UACGGAGGGUGCAAGCGUUAAUCGGAAUUACUGGGCGUAAAGCGCACGCAGGCGGCUUUUAAGUCGGAUGUGAAAGCCCCGGGCUCAACCUGGGAAUUGCAUCUGAUACUGGAAAGCUAGAGUAUGUGAGAGGGGGUAGAAUUCCAAGUGUAGCGGUGAAGUGCGUAGAGAUUUGGAGGAAUACCAGUGGCGAAGGCGGCCCCUGGCACACUACUGACGCUCAGGUGCGAAAGCGUGGGGAGCAAACAGG
rnacentral:rRNA from 1 species